GACGAACGCUGGCGGCGUGCUUAACACAUGCAAGUCGAACGGAAAGGCCCUGCUUGCAGGGUGCUCGAGUGGCGAACGGGUCAGUAACACGUGGGUGAUCUGCCCCUUACUUUGGGAUAAGCCUGGGAAACUGGGUCUAAUACUGGAUAGGACCAUGCUGUAGGUGGUGUGGUGGAAAGAUUAGUUUCGGUAAGGGAUGAGCUCGCGGCCUAUCAGCUUGUUGGUGGGGUAAUGGCCUACCAAGGCGUCGACGGGUAGCCGGCCUGAGAGGGUGGACGGCCACAUUGGGACUGAGAUACGGCCCAGACUCCUACGGGAGGCAGCAGUGGGGAAUAUUGCACAAUGGGCGCAAGCCUGAUGCAGCGACGCCGCGUGGGGGAUGACGGCCUUCGGGUUGUAAACUCCUUUCAGCCAUGACGAAGCCCUUGUGGUGACGGUAGUGGUAGAAGAAGCACCGGCUAACUACGUG
rnacentral:rRNA from 1 species